GGGUCACGUAGGCAGGCCUCCAGCGGCGGCGGAGGGGGUGGGGGCGGCCGCCGGCCAAUAUUACUGGCCUCUACGCGCGACUAGUUCGGCAGUCGUCCGCCGCGCGUCGCUGCGCCGCGCCAACGGCCACAACAGGAUGGCUGUUGGCAAAAGAAUGGUGUGCGUUCCGGCCAGGUGACGACUCGCCUCCCCAUAGCAGCCAGAGCUACUUUCCCAUAAUUGCAUCUUGGUACCAACAUCAGGCAACUUCCCCAUAAUCGCACAAUGGUAUCGUCAACAAGCUGCUUCUCCGUACUCGCAACAUGGUAUCAACAACAGGCUGCUUCCCUAUGAUGACAUCAUGGUAUCAACAAGUAGCUGCUUCUCCGUAUUCGCAACAUGGUAUCAACAACAGGCUGCUUCUCUGUAGACACGAUUUUUCAGUGUGAAAAGACUUCUUCUCCACUUAUCAGCAACCGCCCUAGGCUUUGGCGUUGCACAGUUUCUUGUGAUGGACUGGACAGAAUCUGUCAACUGUGCUGCAAAAUGACCUCAUUCUCCGAAUUUGGCAAGAGACGUGGACUCAUUAACUAACACGGAAAUGAACAAUACAGAGCGUGAGUGAGGGUAGGAAGACUCUUGACAAUAAGGACAACACAAAAUUCUACGUGCCAUAUUUACCACUUUCUUGUCUUCUAACACAUUAACUGGGAACAAUAUGGCAGUAAAUCCACUGAUCAGCUAGACAUUACUGAACCAAAAGAAGAAGGCACAGCAUUGAACGCUGAUAUGAAGUGAUACAAACAACUUCACAACAUUAAAUGUGGUAUAAGAGCUCUGCAUCUGAAGCAAUGAGAGACAGAGAGGCUGAUGUACAUUUAAAAAUUAAAAAAAAAAAGAUCAACAGAAGAACGCAGUGUGAGACAUCAGUGCCAUAAUGACCUUAUUCUUGCCUCUUCAUAGCCCUGUAUAUAGUACCUGAGAACAGUAAAGAUACAAAUUCUGCUGUUCGUUCGCCAACCAUAGGUCAGAGUCUAGAAGGGACAUAUUUUCGCCCUACUGCAGGUGUUGUAGUGUCCAGUAUCAAUACCUGCACUUGACAUAUAAUUCACCUAUACAGUCACAUAAUGAGAAAUGCAUGAGGAUACCAAUAAUACAAUUUGGCUGUGUGUGGAAUAUAAACGCGAUCUCUACACUUGAAAGUGGCUUCGCUACAUAGUGCACAUUGGCUCAGAAGAAGAAGAAGAAGAAAAAUAGAGAUGUCUUUGAAUGGGCCCAAUAACAACAAUAAGAGACCGACAUAGCAGACAGUUUACCUUUACUGAGGAAUCCAUGUAGCUACGGAAAGAGUCAGGGACUGUUUGUGUAUUCAUGCACGUUCCUCAGCUUGUGCUGAGUUCAACCCCUUGUCCAUUGAACAAAUCCAUCAUAACAAGUCUCCAUUCGUGACGAGGAAAGCAAGAUAUGGACGAAGUAAUGGGUGUAGACAGGGCUGAAGUGGAUCUGCUCGUUGGUUCAGUCUUCAGAGUGUUAAUUACAUCUGUAAUAUCAUUUUAAUCCUACUCAAAUGACUUCUUUAAAUGCUACACUGUGCCUGAUAAAGAAAACCGAGUGAAUUCGCUUUUAAUUUAAAAUACGUCAAAGUAGGUACUACCACAGCAUAUGACGUAAAGAGAAAUUUCUUCAGAAGCUAAACAGGGCCAGCAAGGAGAGGACCUUUAAAGAAGAGUUUCCCUUGUAUCACGCUACACCCAAACACACUGGUAUUGCCACUGCUCUGAUUUGUGUGUGUCAUCUCUCAAGAGUAAUGACUAGAAUAUUGCAUUUUAAUUGAAGUCUUAUGCUCUAUAUCAGCCAAAGGGAACGUCAUUGCUGAUAAUACUCGAGGUCACCCACACCCUCUGUUCCUGAGACUGUUCAAUAUGCCACUCUUGCCACACCCAUCUUAUUAUAUGUAAGUUACUACUUGAAUUCAGGCGACAAAACUAUGAAGAGGCUACAACAUGACACGAAAAUUAGUUCAGUAUCCAAUAAUACGCAACAUCAAGAGGCUAUCAAGAGAGAGGCUAUUGUAAUAAGAGGCUACUUCACAACCCACCAACAGUCCAGGUGACAUCAUGAUUGAGUGCAUCAACCAGUAAUUGUGACCAACGUUGUUUCUGUUUGUGAUGCAGAAAUGUUUCUUCAAAAUUCAUGAGUGCCAGGGGAACAGAAAUUUUAAUGUACAGAACAUUAACUGUGUGUUUGUGACGCAAUAUGUUCAAUGUGCCAAACUCGUCAUUUUCUCGUAUUAGUAGCUUUAAGUUCGCUUAUUGUUCUGCACAACGAAGAGGCUAUUUUGAGGCAAGAUUGUUUCAGCAAGUGGUAUAAACUGUACUCUAUAUGUGUGUUCAGUGGAACAUUUCUCAAGUGUGGAUUCUGUAAUGGUUUACUGAGGCUCAAUAAUAAAAGCAAGAUCUUAAGCAAUGUAGGCAAAGCAUCGAUGUAGGAGAAAAAUGUAGUGUUUUCAAAAUAGAUGUAACUGGAAAUAUCUAAUUGUACUAUCAGAAGUGAAAUUUUACCACACUCUUGUAAAAAUGAGUUACCUGUACAACAUAGUCUAUAGUGAGCGCAAAAGAAAGUGAAUUUUUCAUUCUGAGCAUGUUUAACAAUGGAAAAGAAACGUAAUAGUAGAACUGCUCGUUACUUUAAGUACCUGUAACUCAGAAAGAGAAGAUCAGAGAAGGCUAUCUGAUAGGACAAUCACGUACAAUUGGCAAAAUCUCAACUCUUCAUAUUUUUUCUGUGGCAUGGCUUCUGUCAUCAGUACAAAGGAAAACUCUCAAAAAAAAAAAAAACUUAUAUUUUACAGAAGCAUAAGAAUUUAAUUUACUCGCUCACUUUGCAAGACCACACAUUAAGCACAGCACUCAUUUAUCUCACCUUAUUAACUACCGCAUAUGAUAUAGACUGAGAACGAUUUAGGAACAAGUCCAUGUUUUUUUUAAUAGUGAUAAUAAUGUUCUGUGAGUCUAGUGCCGAUAGCUUUAAAGACUGUAAUAACACACCAACAGUACAAAGAUAGAAUCUGUUUAAAUUAAUACGUAUUUUUCAUCAUCCCAUCGUAUACUUGUACAGCUACCAUAGAUUAAUUUUAAAGUAAUAUUUGUGAUCGAUCACGCUCUAAUAAUACGUAACUAAAUAAUUUUAGCUUGUAUAAACGAAGGUUCUCUACGGUCAUAAAACGACAGAGUAGCACUGGAAUGAGCCGCGAGCAAAUAUAUCAGUACCCAGACGUUUUUAUAAUCUUUCUACUUUUCCUUUGCUCCCUGUCGUGUAGGCCCAUUUUCUAUGAUGUGUCAUGCCAUUAAGUUAUACAACUGAAAUUUAUUGCUUUCUGCUCCCUUCACCUCUGUGCCAGCUGUUACAGCUGCAGAUGUAACAACUGUUUCAGUGGUGAGGUGGACACAAUUUUUUCCCAGUCGGAUUCUUUUUGGGUUGUCAAUUCAGUUUGGACAGUGACGACUUUACUAUAGAUUCUUCUCAUCAUAAUACUGGCAGUGCAUCACCGGAGCAGCUUUCGAAAGAAGCAGGAAGUAUGGAGCAGACAUCUAGCAUAACAUCGCUCUUCUUGGGAAUAACAGCGAAUGAUUUCUGAGAGUGCAGUGAGGAAAUGUUACGCUGCUCUGCAUCCUACAUUACGCCAAUUUGAGGCACUUUCCUGCUUCUGAUUAUAAUAUAAAAUGACUGCAAAGACAAUGGAAGGAAUUUCUUUAACGAAUGUCAUACUUUACACCAUUGCAAUUUACAUUAUGUAUGAGUCAUUCAAUUUAUAAAACAAUAUUGUGACAUACUCAGCUAACUGUGAUUAGUCGCCAUGUAUAUAAGAGGCAUUUCUCAUUUCAUUUCGUCAGAGCUCUCUGUGUGUAAGAAAUGUAUUUUUAUUUACAAAUGAAGUAUACCUAAACAGUUACUCCAACAGACCUUAGCUUUAUAAUUAUUGAGCAAACAAGUUGAAAAUCAUGGAAUCACUCAAGCAGAAAUUUUCACUUUGCAUUUUCCUUUUCAUCUACAAAGCUAAAUCGAUCUUGGCUAAAGAAUGGAAUAAAUUCAUCACAUGCUUACGGGUUAAACAGAAAAUGUGUUCUAUGUGAGCAAUUUUCUAUCUACUCUUCCCUUGUUUUCUGAGUUUAUUUCAGAAGAUUUCCCAGAGAGAGGUUAGUGUUUCACAUGUUUCCAUUUACAAUCUACAGUAAACCUUAUGAAGUAUUACUUUCAACUGUCACAAAAUAAACUGCAAUUUUCUCAGUAUUUUGAUAACAUCAUCAAACAACACGGUAAAUUUGUAUGUUUUUUCCUUAAUGUGUGGAGAAAUUUUGCAGUUGUAACUGUACUUCCAUUAAAGUUUGAAUUUUGGACUUACGUUGUUAAAAAACUUUAUCAGUGGUAGUAUGCUAAUUGUUGAUGACCAAUGUAAAAAUGAGUGGCUUGAGUAGUGGUUCUGUCUAGACUUUUAUAUCAAAGAUCGUACUCAUCUUGUCAGUUCCUCGGGUCGAUAUGCACUGCAGUAUCAUGAUGAAUUCUCAAAUGAGCAAUAUAACAAAUUGUAUGUAGUUGUAAUAAAUGUGUCACAUUAGUAGUUGUUUGGAAUAUAAAGUGAUACAUCAAAAGUUCUUUCUUUUAACGACAUUUUAAAUACUUUGCUUCCUUGCAAGCAUCACUAAAUUAUUAGGCUUUUUAUUACAAGCUUGAAGCACAUUGUAGAAAAUGUGGGCACUCUUCUCAGAAUGUUUCUCGUGGUUCAUCCUCAGCGAACAUCCAGAAGAGGUGAGGUAUGUAGAAAUAUUUUCAGUGCGUUUCCUAAACUGUUUGUGUAAUUAUCUUUUGAAGAUUUCUGCUUUUUGAUUUAAUUGUUCCAUGACCUGAUAAAAUCAGAAAAAAUGAUAAGACUGAGACUGUGACAGUCCAUUUGUUUUUUUCAAGGUUGGAAAAUCUUUCUUCACACCUCACCAAUUUCUGCACUGGCUACUGUCGAAAUUCUCUUCCACAUUAUAUGAUGAAUUAGCUUAUUUAUUUUCAAUAUACUACUGUGUAAUGUUGAUAUCUUUACAUUCAUUGUUUGUAUACAAACAUAAUCAUCUUUCUUUGUUUUGAUGGUGGCCGGCAGUGAUUACAUGAUGCGUAAACGAGAACAAAGACUGAUUAACACCGAAAGUGCAAAAUUAGAUCAUUUCCUUUGGUACAAAAUGGUUUGUGUAAUAGUAGAAUUGUAGUGCUGUUGAUUUUCACGCAAGUAAGAAUAAUAUUUGUACAGUCACAAGCUCCAUUUAUUUACAUUUCAGUACUGAAGCAGGUCAUAUGAGAUGAUGGUUAUGAUUGUGAUAUAAUAAAUUUUGUUGUUUUUUUGUGAUUUUUAAAAGUUUAGUUAAGUUUAAUUUGAAGCAUAUCUGAGAACGAUGUUAUGAAGUAUGUAGUGUAUAGAAUAUUGUAAUGGAUAAACUGAAUUUAGCUGCAUAGGUGCUUUAAGUAAGAGAAUGCCAUCAUAUAUUCAUCAUUUACGAUAUCACUUACUAACUUUUGUUUAUGUACUUUGAGUUGCAAAUUCCUCAGGUCGAGCGGACUAUAGAAUAAGCAAUCUUGUACCUGUUGUAAUAAAAUAGAAACAACAUCAUUUCGUCAUACAUGUGUCAUAAAGUGAUAAACUGAUUUUUUUGUGUAACAUUUCGCUACUGCUUUUCAUCAUUGCUUGCAUUGUCUUUUCGAAUACUGACAUACUAGAUUAAGAAAUUACUUUAUGUGUAUUGUAGACUUAAGAACCUGUAAAAAAAUGCCAAUGGCUCGAUAUUUGGCUUUAUGUCGUAAACGAAUGUAAUUUUUUUAAAAAUGGGCAAGUGAGUUAGUACACCUGAUUAAUGUGCCCCGAUCUCAUUAUUAGUAGGAAGUUUUGGUUUCGGUUUCAGAAUGAAUGACGUCAUGAGGAAAGAAUCGAAGAUUGCUUGUGAGAAUGGUACUACCGUGUCUUUCAAAGUAAAUUUAAGAGUCGAAUAUAUUUUUGUAACUAAUAAUGGAACAUUAAGUUUCUGAAUGGUGUCUUCCAGAAUAAUUUGGCCCAAUGAUACUCGAAUUACUGUUCACUGACAUAGUAAACAAAAUCUGUAUUUGGACAGCAGAUUUUGUCGAAAAAGUGACAGUAUAGUGAUGUAGCUACUCUGUGCAUUCACAUUGUGUGUACAGCUCCAUACAUCAGAUAAGUCCUUAUGUUUUAUAUUCAUGUGCAGUCGUAUCAGUAUGCAUUAAACAGAUAACGGCAGUACCUUUAUCGGCGAAAUUUACAUUUAGAAUUUGAAGGGUAGAACAAUGAAUAAAGCUCUAUGUUUGUGUUAAUGAAUUAUUGUUUUUAUUCUAACAUUACGCCUAAUAUUCAUCUCUGAAGUCCAUCAAUGACAGCAUCAAGGAGAAGCAGCCUGUUCCAAUACCUGCGAAGUACAAUGUUGAUAAAACAUAAGAAAAACCAUAAUGAUGUAUUUUAACAGUAAUGGAUCUAUGUAAAUUUUCUGCUGUACAUUUUGAGAAAUAAAGAUACUUAUCUGGGA